rnacentral:rRNA from 1 species
CCUACGGGUGGCAGCAGUGGGGAAUAUUGCACAAUGGGGGGAACCCUGAUGCAGCGACGCCGCGUGAGUGACGAAGUAUUUCUGUAUGUAAAGCUCUAUCAGCAGGGGAGAAAAUGACGGUACCUGACUCAGAAGCCCCGGCUAACUACGUGCCAGCAGCCGCGGUAAUACGUCGGGGGCAAGCGUUAUCCGGAUUUACUGGGUGUUCAGGGAGCGCAGACGGCUGUGCAAGGCUGGAGGGAAAGGCGGGGGCCCAACCCCCGGACUGCUCUGGAAACUGGAAAGCUGGAGUGCAGGAGAGGUAAGCGGAAUGCGUAGUGUAGCGGUGAAAUGCGUAGAUAUUAGGAGGAACACCAGUGGCGAAGGCGGCUUACUGGACUGCAACUGACGUUGAGGCACGAAAGCGUGGGGAGCGAACAGGAUUAGAUACCCUUGUAGUC